AGCAUAGCAACAGCAGGGUAGCUGAACAUCUUACGGAUGGCCCAGGGCUCCAAAGGCUUGUUUCCUAAGUGAGAGAGAGCCCGGCUGAAGCUCUAUUACCAUUCAUUCUCUAGCCUCCGAAGUCUCAAAGCAUCACUUCCACCAUACUCUAAUUGUCAAGACAAACACAAAGUCCUAGAAAGAAUACAGUAUCGAUGUUCCUUUUAAACAAGUAUUUGAGUAAAAGCAAUGUUUCCAAUGUGUGUCAGAAAGUGAAUACUUGCAUAUUUCUGCAUGGUUAGAGCUGAGCUUUCCAAGCAAAUUUUACUGGGACCCGGUUGAAAGACAGGUCUUGGAAGUGAAAUGAUGACUGACUAGAUGACAUUACAUGUAAAUGGAAUCAUACAAUAUGUGAUCUUUUGUGACUGGCUUCUUUCACUUAGCAUAAUGUUUUCAAGGUUUGUUCGUGUUGUAGCAGAAACUGCCAGACUGUCUUCCGAAGUGGCUAUAAUAUUUACACUCCCAUCAGCAGUGUCUGAGUUUGCAGAGUAAACCACUACCCUGAAAUCUGGAGAGGCAGGUGCACCCAUAGAGUCUCAGCUGAGAUCCAAUUACCUGAAAUAGAAGCUGCCAUUAGGAACACUUAAAUGAGCCAGUUCUGCUGCGACACAGAAUCACUUGCUCCAUCUAAUACAUUGAUGAUGAUUAAUUUGUAUGUGUACCUUCCAAAAA
rnacentral:lncRNA from 1 species